rnacentral:rRNA from 1 species
UUGAACGCUGGCGGCAGGCCUAACACAUGCAAGUCGAGCGAGAAAGGGAGCAAUCCUGAGUACAGCGGCGGACGGGUGAGGAACGCGUAGGAAUCUACCUAGUAGUGGGGGACAACUCGGGGAAACUCGAGCUAAUACCGCAUACGCCCCAAGGGGGAAAGCGGGGGACCGCAAGGCCUCGCGCUAUUAGAUGAGCCUGCGUAGGAUUAGCUAGUUGGUAGGGUAAAAGCCUACCAAGGCGACGAUCCUUAGCUGGUCUGAGAGGAUGACCAGCCACACUGGAACUGAGACACGGUCCAGACUCCUACGGGAGGCAGCAGUGGGGAAUCUUGCACAAUGGGCGAAAGCCUGAUGCAGCCAUGCCGCGUGUGUGAAGAAGGCCUUCGGGUUGUAAAGCACUUUAAGUGGGGAGAAAAGGGUAGUCGCCAAUAACGGCUAUCUGUGAUGUUACCCACAGAAUAAGCACCGGCAAACUUCGU